rnacentral:rRNA from 1 species
AUUGAACGCUAGCGGCAUGCCUUACACAUGCAAGUCGAACGGAGUGGCGAACGGGUGAGUCAUGUAUCGGAACGUGCCCAGUAGCGGGGGAUAACUACGCGAAAGCGUAGCUAAUCCCGCAUACUAUUGGAGCGGCCGAUAUCGGAUUAGCUUGUUGGUGGGGUAACGGCGCACCAAGGGGACGAUCCGUAGCUGGUUGGAGAGGACGACCAGCCACACUGGGACGGAGACACGGCCCAGACGCCUACGGGAGGCAGCAGUGGGGAAUGUUGGACAAUGGGGGAAACCCUGAUCCAGCCAUGCCGCGGGUGAGAUGAAGGCCUUCGGGUUGUAAAGCACUUUUGGCAGGAAAGCGGUACCUGCAGAAGAAGCACCGGCUAACUACGUGCCAGCAGCGGCGGUAAUAC